CCGUAGGCGGCUCUCUUUCUCCUUCUUCCCUGGUCUUCCCUCUCGUUCCUUCUUUUCUUUCCUUUUUUCUUUCCCUCUCCCUUCUCCCCUUUUCUCUUUCUUUCAAUACUACCGGACUUGAGAGCGAUAGAGGAAAAUGGAAUUCCCGGUGUAGUGGUGAAAUGCGUAGAUAUCGGGAGGAACACCAGUGGCGAAAGCGAUUUUCUGGAUCGUUUCUGACGCUCAGACGCGAAAGCUAGGGUAGCAAACGG
rnacentral:rRNA from 1 species